ACUUGAAAAUUCAGUUUAAAAAAAAUUGUUGUGAGCUGGAGAUCAGGCCUCACAGAGACACCAGGGGCCACCGGCACAAGAGGGACCACCCUAGGAAGACGCAACAAAAUGGUGGCCAACAGCAAGCCAAGGAGAGAGCCUCAGAAGAAACCAAACCUGCUGACACAUCGAUCAUGAGCUUUUGACCUCUCGAAUGUUAAGAAAAUAAAUAUCUGCUCUUUAAGCCA